AACCCGCCCUCAUUGAUCCGCAGUGACGUGAAGCCUUUAAACGGGCGCCAUUUUCUGUGCUCUUUCUCAUUCUGCCGCAGUCGGCGACGCGCUGUACAACCGUCCUGUGUGUUCAACAGAAACUCUGAGGUUAUCAUCAUGUCUGACGAGGGAAAGCUUUUCAUCGGUGGUCUGAGCUAUGAUACAACAGAACAGUCCUUGGAGGAAGCAUUCUCCAAAUAUGGAACCAUUGCCAAAGUUGAUGUUAUCAGAGACCGUGAAACUGACCGUUCUAGAGGCUUUGGCUUUGUGACCUUUGAAAAUCCAGAAGAUGCUAAGGAUGCCAUGGCUGCCAUGAAUGGAAAGCAAGUUGAUGGUCGCAUGAUUCGCGUUGAUGAAGCUGGCAAAUCUGGUGGACGGUCUGGUGGUUUCAGAGGGGGUUCCAGAGGUGGUGGCAGAGGCUUCUUCAGAGGCAGCAGAGGAAGAGGUGGUGGCGGAUAUGGCGGAGACAGAAGCUAUGGCAGUGACAGGAGUUUUGGUGGUGACCGGAGCUAUGGAGGAGACCGCAGCUAUGGCGGUGGCGAUAGAGGCUAUGGUGGUGGGGAGAGAAGUUAUGGAGGUGGUGACAGAUCCUAUGGUGGCGGCGGUGGUGGAUACUCCAACAGGAGUGGAGGAUACUCCAGCGGCGGUGGAUACAGGGAUAACAGUUGAUUUUAGGAACCAGGGGGGAUACGACCGCUCUGGAGGAUCCUACAGAGACGGUUACGACAGUUACGCUUCACACGAGUAAAAAAACCCCGAUUGCAAGAUCAUCCCUACGCUGGCUGUAUUUAAAAAGAUGCGCUCUUCGAAGACCUUUUUUAUUUUUUACUUUUUUGCUUUACGUUGUGUUCCAGUUGAAAUGUUCUAUUAAAGACAGUCCCCUUUUUUUACCCGUCAAGUAUCUGCAGGAUGUUCCUCGAUGAGGAGCUGCAUAAAAUCAAUGAGCAUUCAGUUACUGUAAGAGUUUCAAGCCUGGUGAGGCUACCUGUAUCUGAUAUUUUACCUUGGGAAUUGUUAUAGAUGCUCACAGGGGUUUGAAAUUCUUGUUUCUUUUUUUUAGUAUGUGUUUAAGAAACUGUGUCUCUGAAACCAUGCGUGAAAACUGACCUGUCCAACACAGCCUGAUAGCUUCUAAGACCAAUUUCCUCAAAGAUCUUUGGACCAAUUUCUCACUGGCUCACUGAAAGUGCUAGGGGCCUUUUGCAUUUAAAAUGAAUUUUAAAAGCGGCAGCUUCGCCACCUGAAAAAUAUUCUAAUCCGAUCCUCUAAUAGAAGCUUGAUAAGCUGUGAUGUGUUCUUUAUGGCUCUUCGCCACCUCCAUGUUGUGAUGCAUUCCUUUAGUGAAGCAAGGCAGGCAUGUUGCAUUGGAGUUGUCUCCGGCAAACCUCCUUGAUGUUGCUAAAGAUUUGUAAAUACUCAUUCAAAGAGUAAACCACUUGGGUUGGGUCAUUAAACCUCAUGUUAGGACUGAUGACCCAAGGUACUUUACUCUUUGCACAGUCUAAAUUUAUUUUUAAACUAUGCUCUGCUGUGGACUGAACGUAUCCUCUUAAAUGUCAAUUUUGUGCUGUUCUGUAUCAAAACCUCAGAAUCCUUUUCUUUUUGUAUUAAAUUGGCUUCAUGAAGCCCAUUAAAAAGUGGUUGGAAAACGC